CAUUGAGUUCUACUAUUCGUCAAACUUUGGAAGAUCCCAAUUCUAUGUUUUUACCAAUCGGGCAACCACCUCACAGGGACACCUUGCCAUGGUGCAUGCUUCACCAAUCAUACAACACCUUACAUUUGCGUGUGUUCUUGAGAAAAAUAAUGAUCUGCAUAUGUCCACUUAACUGAUAUGCCUAUCUUAGCCUACAUUGAACUCUCACCGCAUUUCCUCCGCUGAGUAUUCAGAUUCACCUAACACGAUACUCAUAUAAACACACAUUUGUCUUUUGUGAUACACUUUCAUUAGCAAUUGGUACUCUAUAUAUACCCUUUCUCAUCCACAUUAAUAGUCUUUUUUUUUGCAUCACACCUCCAUAUGUGUUUGGCAUGUGUUUAGUUAAAUUCUUAGUUUGAGCUAUGUCUUUAACUCGAAUCUUACUAUUACUAAUUGGAGGCUCCUUUUGAAGCCUCCAGAUGAAGCCACCUAGGAUUCCUAGGUAGACACUCUAGAAAAAAAGAGAAAUCCUAGAAAUUCUCACAAAAAAGCAAAACAUCCGACCAUCAAUCGACAGAUUCAAAUCAUCAUAGCCAUUGGAUCUAUUAUGUUUUCUAAAAAAUUACCCACCUAUGCUAUUAUGAAAAUAGCCUAAAGUAACCCCCUAAAUCUAUAUAUAAAUUACCCACCUCUGCCAUUAUAUAAAAUAAACUAAAGUAACCCCCUAAUCUUCAUCAAAAUUACCCACUUAUGCCAUUAUAAACAAUAUUUAAAAUGACUUCCUAAUUUGCAACUGAAUUGCCUACCACUAUUACUUUAAAUAUUACUUUAAAACACUUAAACUAACCCCUUAAAUUUGCAUUUAUAUUACCCACAUAAGCUAUUAUUAAAACUAACAUGAGGUAACCCUACGUUUGAAUCAAAUAACCUUAAUUAAAAAUAUACAACAAUAUAUGAUUCUAAAUCGUCUAUAUCUUACACUAUUGGUAUAUGAUAUAAUAAUUAAGAUCUAUACGCAUGAUGUGUGAUGUGUGUCACCAUUUAUAAGGAUAUAAAGUGAUGGGAAUAUACAUUUCUAUGCUAAAAUUGUAUUUAGCAUUAUGGAUAGUUCUAUUAAAUCUAUGAGCACUCAAACUUAGGGUUCAUUAAACAAAUUUAAGCCCAUACAUGCGAUCCAAAGUGGAAAGUUAAAGAUUAUAAAUGUGGAUGAAAAUAUUAUAGAGCAAUUACUAACUGAAAUCUAUCACAAUUGGAUCAAGAUAUUAAGUAUAUAUCUAAAUAAGUAUUGUGUCCGAAUAUUUAAC
rnacentral:lncRNA from 1 species